CCUACGGGGAGCUGCAGUGGGGAAUAUUGGACAAUGGGCGAAAGCCUGAUCCAGCCAUGCCGCGUGUGUGAAGAAGGCCUUCGGGUUGUAAAGCACUUUCAGUGGGGAAGAAAGCCUUGGGGCUAAUACCCUCGAGGAAGGACAUCACCCACAGAAGAAGCACCGGCUAACUCCGUGCCAGCAGCCGCGGUAAUACGGAGGGUGCGAGCGUUAAUCGGAAUUACUGGGCGUAAAGCGCGCGUAGGCGGUCUGAUAAGCCGGUUGUGAAAGCCCCGGGCUCAACCUGGGAACGGCAUCCGGAACUGUCAGGCUAGAGUGCAGGAGAGGAAGGUAGAAGUCCCGGUGUAGCGGUGAAAUGCGUAGAGAUCGGGAGGAAUACCAGUGGCGAAGGCGGCCUUCUGGACUGACACUGACGCUGAGGUGCGAAAGCGUGGGUAGCAAACAGGAUUAGAUACCCCAGUAGUC
rnacentral:rRNA from 1 species